GCCAAACAUAUGGUUUGGCUCUGACUAAGCACUCCAGAUGGGGGCUGUAAACACAGAUGGCACACCUACUGUCAGGGUCCGCCCAGUCUUUUCGGCACCUUGGAAAGUUAAGGGAGGGCUGUACAGCCUGAGGCUGCAGGCAGACUGCUGCUGCUGAUGUGGAUCACACCAGGAUGUGUACAUGCAUAUCUGUGGACUACACACCAGUUCCAAGCCCACAGGGCUGAACUUAAUGUAACAGUAGGCAGAAAUUUGCUUUAAAAAAAGA